UUCCGGUUGAUCCUGCCGGAGGCCAUUGCUAUCGGAAUCCGAUUUAGCCAUGCUAGUCGCACGGGUCAGACCCGUGGCAGACAGCUCAGUAACACGUGGCCAAACUACCCUGCGGACGAGGAUAAUCUCGGGAAACUGAGGCUAAUCCUUGAUAGGGCUUCCAUCCUGGAGUGGAGGAAGUCCAAAAGUUGCGCUGCGGCACCACAGGAUGUGGCUGCGGCCGACUAGGUAGACGGUGGGGUAACGGCCCACCGUGCCAGUAAUCGGUACGGGUGAUGAGAGUCAGAGCCCGGAGACGGUAUCUGAGACAAGAUACCGGGCCCUACGGGGCGCAGCAGGCGCGAAACCUUAACACUGCACGACAGUGCGAUAGGGGGAUUCCGAGUGCGAGGGCAUACAGUCCUCGCUUUUCUGGACCGUAAGGAGGUCGAGGAACAAGGGCUGGGCAAGACCGGUGCCAGCCGCCGCGGUAAUACCGGCAGCCCGAGUGAUGGCUGAUAUUAUUGGGCCUAAAGCGUCCGUAGCUGGCCAGACAAGUCCGUUGGGAAAUCCACGCGCUCAACGCGUGGGCGUCCAGCGGAAACUGUCUGGCUUGGGGCCGGAGGACUCGAGGGGUACGUCCGGGGUAGGAGUGAAAUCCCGUAAUCCUGGACGGACCACCGGUGGCGAAAGCGCCUCGAGAGGACGGACCCGACAGUGAGGGACGAAAGCCAGGGUCUCGAACCGGAUUAGAUACCCCGGUAGUC
rnacentral:rRNA from 1 species